AUACGGAGGGUGCAAGCGUUACUCGGAAUCACUGGGCGUAAAGCGCGCGCAGGCGGCUUGAUAAGUUGGAUGUGAAAGCCUACGGCUCAACCGUAGAACUGCAUCCAAAACUGUCAAGCUAGAGACUGGGAGGGGAAGAUGGAAUUAGUUGUGUAGGGGUAAAAUCCGUAGAGAUAACUAGGAAUACCAAAAGCGAAGGCGAUCUUCUGGAACAGUACUGACGCUGAGGCGCGAAAGCGUGGGGAGCAAACAGGAUUAGAUACCCCAGUAGUCC
rnacentral:rRNA from 1 species